UAUUAUUUCUCUUCUUUGUGACAACCAUAUAACAAGACUUGCUUGCUGAUAAUUUAAAACCCCAUUCAUAAGACCAUUUUUCUACUUUACUAAUUGCUUUUUUAAUAUUUCCUACCACAUAUUUAAUAUUUUUCCCCUUCAUCCAUAUGACCCCAUCAUCUGCAUAUAGUGCAGAUUUUAUACAUUUAUCAGUAUCAUAGAAAAUAUCAUUGAUCAUAAUAUUGAAUAAAAUUGGACUAAUUACACUACCUUGAGGUAUUCCAUUUUCAACAUUAAAUUCUUUUGAAUAAUCAUUCCCAAUUUUUACUCUUAUUUUUCUAUCUAGCAGAAAAUUUGCUAUCCAAUUAUACAUUCUCCCACCUAUUCCCAUCUGUUUCAUUUUUAUAAGUAAUCCUUCUUUCCAUAGUGAGUCAUACGCUUUUUCUAUAUCAAAAAAUACUAUAAUCAUUAGUUCCUUCAUUUUUAAAGCUUUCUCUAUUUCAUUACUGACUCUAGUUAGAGCAUCCAUUGUUGAUCUUCCUGUUUUCGAUUGUUACAUUUUUCUGUAAUAUUUUAAAUGCUUUAUUACGAUCUUUAAUUGUUUUACUACAUUCAUUAUUCCACCAAGGAACUACUUUCUUCUGACCUUUCACUUUUAUUUUUGGUAUACUAUAAUUUGCAGCAUUUAAGAUAUGUUCUGUUAUUUGAUUUGUACAUUCUUCAAUAUUACCUUUUAAUGUUACUACAUGACUUGUUUCUUCACAUUUUGUUUUAAAUUUAAACCAAUUAGCUUUAUUAAAGCACCAUCUUAUUAAUGUUAACUCUUCUUGUCUAUUUAUAUUGUCAUCAAUUAUUGUACUUACUGGAAAAUGAUCACUCCCUAUUGUAGACUCCCAAUUAACAUCCCAUUCACAUGCAUUAACAAGACAGUCUGAUAUUAAUGUAAUAUCAAGACAUGAAACUGCAUUUUUAUGUAUAUUUACUCUUGUACCUUUUCCAUUAUUAAGACAAACUAAUGACCUUUCAUCCAUUAAUUCUUCCACUAUUUCACCAUUAUGAUCUGUCUUCUUGCUACCCCAUAGACUAUUGUGAGCAUUAAAAUCUCCACACCAAACUUCUCUUCUAUGUAUUUUCCCUAUUUCCUUAAAUAUUUCAUUAUCAAGAUUUUUACAUGGAUUAUAAUAAUUUAUCAUUUUAAUAUUUCCACAAAACUGAGAAUCCUAAUAACUCAGUGUCUGCUAAGAAUGUAACAAUAUUUUUUGUCUGCUAACACAUCUAGUAAGUACCUAGAUAUAUCUGAAGAUAGUUGACUGUUCAGAGUACUCAUAAAGUUCUGAUAUUAUAUCUGAAAACUUUUAUAAAUUUGUCCUCAGGCUAUGACCAAGAAACGGCCUCGCUGUUACUUCUCUUACAUCUCCUUCCACCGCAACCAGGAGGACAGAAGUCUCCAAAAAUCAGUGCAAGUGAUGCAGUUGAGAGACUUGUUGUCUUUCAUAAGUCAUGCUGCAGUUUAGAGGAGCAUCUCCGGGGUCAACAGGGUCUGCAGCCAUACCUCCUUGCUGUUGGGCGUCAGAGAAGCAAGAUUGACAGCUUCUACAUCGUCAUGGAUAAGUGCCUCAUCCCAUGCCAGACAAACGGUUCUCUUGGAGCAUUUGAUGAGCUAUUCAAAGCACAUUUUGUGAACAUUGUCUUUUCUCCUAUUCUCCCUAUGGGUAUGACGAUAUAUUUGAAGCAUUUGAUUGUUGAACACCAUAAACUCUUUAAGUUCUUAUAUUCACAUCAAAAUUUGAUACCUAAGCAUCAUUUUAUGAUCCACUAUCCAUCUUCCAUUAGGAAAAUAGGUCCAUUGUUACAUAUGUGGUCUAUGAGGUUUGAGGCUAAACACAAAAUGUUUAAAGAAUAUUUUAAAAACUUUAAAAAUAUAACCAAAUCACUUGCGAAAAAGCAUCAGAUGGCCACAGCUUAUCAUUGGGAAACAAUAAGUAUUAAAGAAAAUGAGCAUGGGCCUCUCAAACCAUUUUCACUUAAAGAUGAAGAUGUGGUCAACAAAGAAAUGCUUCAAAUGAUUUCAUCAGGAGAUGUUUUCUCAACCAGCUGGGUUAGAGUUGAGGGUGUUGAAUAC